UACGGGAGGCAGCAGUGGGGAAUAUUGCACAAUGGGGGAAACCCUGAUGCAGCCAUGCCGCGUGUGUGAAGAAGGCCUUCGGGUUGUAAAGCACUUUCAAUUGUGAGGAAAGGUUAACGGUUAAUACCCGUUAGCUGUGACGUUAGCAACAGAAGAAGGACCGGCUAACUCCGUGCCAGCAGCCGCGGUAAUACGGAGGGUCCGAGCGUUAAUCGGAAUUACUGGGCGUAAAGCGCACGCAGGCGGUUUGUUAAGCUAGAUGUGAAAGCCCUGGGCUCAACCUGGGAAUUGCAUUUAGAACUGGCAGGCUAGAGUUUUGGAGAGGGGAGUGGAAUUCCAGGUGUAGCGGUGAAAUGCGUAGAUAUCUGGAGGAACAUCAGUGGCGAAGGCGACUCCCUGGUCAGUAACUGACGCUCAUGUGCGAAAGUGUGGGUAGCGAACAGGAUUAGAUACCCUGGUAGUCCACACCGUAAACGCUGUCUACUAGCUGUUUGUGGAUUUAAUCCGUGAGUAGCGAAGCUAACGCGAUAAGUAGACCGCCUGGGGAGUACGGCCGCAAGGUUAAAACUCAAAUGAAUUGACGGGGGCCCGCACAAGCGGUGGAGCAUGUGGUUUAAUUCGAUGCAACGCGAAGAACCUUACCUACUCUUGACAUACUGAGAACUUAGCAGAGAUGCUUUGGUGCCUUCGGGAACUCAGAUACAGGUGCUGCAUGGCUGUCGUCAGCUCGUGUUGUGAAAUGUUGGGUUAAGUCCCGCAACGAGCGCAACCCUAAUUGCUAGUUGCCAUCAGGUAAAGCUGGGAACUUUAGCAAAACUGCCGGUGAUAAACCGUGAGGAAGGUUGGGACGACGUCA
rnacentral:rRNA from 1 species